CGCGAAUUCGCCCUUCGGGGUGCAGCAGGCGCGAAAACUUUGCAAUGCGGGAAACCGUGACAAGGGAACUCUGAGUGCCCGUAAAAUCGGGCUGUCCAUCGGUUUAAAAAACCGGUGAAGAAAGGGCCGGGCAAGACCGGUGCCAGCCGCCGCGGUAAUACCGGCGGCUCGAGUGGUGGCCACUAUUACUGGGCUUAAAGCGUUCGUAGCUGGUUUGUUAAGUCUCUGGGGAAAUCUUCCGGCUUAACCGGAAGGCGUCUCAGGGAUACUGGCAGACUAGGGACCGGGAGAGGUGAGAGGUACUCCAGGGGUAGGAGUGAAAUCCUGUAAUCCUUGGGGGACCACCUGUGGCGAAGGCGUCUCACCAGAACGGCUCCGACAGUGAGGGACGAAAGCUGGGGGAGCAAACCGGAUUAGAUACCCGGGUAGUCCCAGCUGUAAACGAUGCGCGUUAGGUGUAUCAGUGACCACGAGUCACUGAGGUGCCGAAGAGAAAUCGUGAAACGUGCCGCCUGGGAAGUACGGUCGCAAGGCUGAAACUUAAAGGAAUUGGCGGGGGAGCAC
rnacentral:rRNA from 1 species